CCUACGGGUGGCAGCAGUGAGGAAUAUUGGUCAAUGGACGCAAGUCUGAACCAGCCAUGUAGCGUGCAGGAUGACGGCCCUAUGAGUUGUAAACUGCUUUUGUAUGAGGGUAAACUGUGACACGCGUAGGAGUUUGUAAGUACCGUAUGAAUAAGGAUCGGCUAACUCCGUGCCAGCAGCCGCGGUAAUACGGAGGAUUCAAGCGUUAUCCGGAUUUAUUGGGUUUAAAGGGUGCGUAGGCGGUCUGUUAAGUCAGUGGUGAAAGUCCGCGGCUCAACCUUGAAAUUGCAGUUGAUACUGUCCGUCUAGAGUGUAGUAGCGGUAGGCGGAAUGUGUGGUGUAGCGGUGAAAUGCUUAGAGAUCACGCAGAACACCGAUUGCGAAGGCAGCUUAC
rnacentral:rRNA from 1 species